rnacentral:rRNA from 1 species
GAUGAACGCUAGCUACAGGCUUAACACAUGCAAGUCGCGGGGCAGCAUGGGGGUUGCUUGCAAUCCCCGAUGGCGACCGGCGCACGGGUGAGUAACGCGUAUCCAACCUGCCCUUCACCACGGGAUAACCCGGCGAAAGUCGGACUAAUACCGUAUGUUGUCCAUUGACGGCAUCCGAUUUGGACGAAAGGUUUGGCGGUGAAGGAUGGGGAUGCGUCCGAUUAGCUGGACGGCGGGGUGACGGCCCACCGUGGCGACGAUCGGUAGGGGUUCUGAGAGGAAGGUCCCCCACACUGGAACUGAGACACGGUCCAGACUCCUACGGGAGGCAGCAGUGAGGAAUAUUGGUCAAUGGGCGUAAGCCUGAACCAGCCAAGUAGCGUGCAGGAGGACGGCCCUAUGGGUUGUAAACUGCUUUUAUGCGGGGAUAAAGUGGCCCACGUGUGGGUUUUUGCAGGUACCGCAUGAAUAAGGACCGGCUAAUUCCGUG